rnacentral:rRNA from 1 species
GACGAACGCUGGCGGCGUGCUUAACACAUGCAAGUCGAGCGAGGGGCUUCGGCUCCUAGCGGCGAACGGGUGAGUAACACGUGGGCAACCUGCCUCGAGCUCUGGAAUAACCUCGGGAAACCGGGGCUAAUGCCGGAUAUGACGCUACCGGGCAUCUGGUGGUGUGGAAAGAUUUAUCGGCUCGAGAUGGGCCCGCGGCCUAUCAGCUUGUUGGUGGGGUGAUGGCCUACCAAGGCGACGACGGGUAGCCGGCCUGAGAGGGCGACCGGCCACACUGGGACUGAGACACGGCCCAGACUCCUACGGGAGGCAGCAGUGGGGAAUAUUGCGCAAUGGGCGGAAGCCUGACGCAGCGACGCCGCGUGGGGGAUGACGGCC